rnacentral:rRNA from 1 species
AGUUGAUCCUGGCUCAAGUGAACGCUGGCGGUAGGCCUAACACAUGCAAGUCGAACGGCAGCACGAGAGAGCUUGCUCUCUUGGUGGCGAGUGGCGGACGGGUGAGGAAUACAUCGGAAUCUACCUUGUCGUGGGGGAUAACGUAGGAAACUUACGCUAAUACCGCAUACGACCUACGGGUGAAAGCGGAGGACCUUCGGGCUUCGCGCGACUAGAUGAGCCGAUGUCGGAUUAGCUUGUUGGCGGGGUAAAAGCCCACCAAGGCGACGAUCCGUAGCUGGUCUGAGAGGAUGAUCAGCCACACUGGAACUGAGACACGGUCCAGACUCCUACGGGAGGCAGCAGUGGGGAAUAUUGGACAAUGGGCGCAAGCCUGAUCCAGCCAUACCGCGUGGGUGAAGAAGGCCUUCGGGUUGUAAAGCCCUUUUGUUGGGGAAGAAAAGCAGUCGGCUAAUACCUGGCUGUUCUGACGGUACCAAAGAAUAAGCACCGGCUAACUUCGUGCCAGCAGCCGCGGUAAUACGAAGGGUGCAAGCGUUACUCGGAAUUACUGGGCGUAAAGCGUGCGUAGGUGGUUUGUUAAGUCUGAUGUGAAAGCCCUGAGCUCAACCUGGGAAUUGCAUUGGAUACUGGCAGGCUAGAGUGCGGUAGAGGAUGGCGGAAUUCCCGGUGUAGCAGUGAAAUGCGUA